rnacentral:rRNA from 1 species
AUUGAACGCUGGCGGCAGGCCUAACACAUGCAAGUCGAGCGAGCGGCGGACGGGUGAGUAAUGUAUGGGGAUCUGCCCGAUAGAGUGGGAUAACUACUGGAAACGGUAGCUAAUACCGCAUACUAUCGGAUGUGCCCAUAUGGGAUUAGCUAGUAGGUGGGGUAAUGGCUCACCUAGGCGACGAUCCCUAGCUGGUCUGAGAGGAUGAUCAGCCACACUGGAACUGAGAAACGGUCCAGACUCCUACGGGAGGCAGCAGUGGGGAAUAUUGCACAAUGGGCGCAAGCCUGAUGCAGCCAUGCCGCGUGUAUGAAGAAGGCCUUCGGGUUGUAAAGCACUUUCAGCGGGGAGGCGUUACCGGCAGAAGAAGCACCGGCUAACUCCGUGCCAGCAGCCGCGGUAAUUC